rnacentral:rRNA from 1 species
AUUGAACGCUGGCGGCAUGCCUUACACAUGCAAGUCGAACGGUAACAGGUCUUCGGAUGCUGCCGAGUGGCGAACGGGUGCGUAAUACAUCGGAACGUGCCCGAUCGUGGGGGAUAACGAGGCGAAAGCUUUGCUAAUACCGCAUACGAUCUACGGAUGAAAGCGGGGGAUCUUCGGACCUCGCGCGGACGGAGCGGCCGAUGGCAGAUUAGGUAGUUGGUGGGAUAAAAGCUUACCAAGCCGACGAUCUGUAGCUGGUCUGAGAGGAUGAUCAGCCACACUGGGACUGAGACACGGCCCAGACUCCUACGGGAGGCAGCAGUGGGGAAUUUUGGACAAUGGGCGAAAGCCUGAUCCAGCCAUGCCGCGUGCAGGAUGAAGGCCUUCGGGUUGUAAACUGCUUUUGUACGGAACGAAAAGCCUCUUUCUAAUAAAGAGGGGUCAUGACGGUACCGUAAGAAUAAGCACCGGCUAACUACGUG